CGAUGAAGCAUUAAAAUCAUCUCUGGCACAGUGAUAGCAGAAUAAUUUUGGAGUAAAACAUAUCUUAGCUUAACGUUACAAGCUAACCUUAGACGACUGGGUUGACGAGCUAACGUCAGCUAAUGACUAACGAGUUGUCGAUACAAACAUGGUUUGCAGUUCAAGUUUAAUUGAAGUCUGAUUGUUGCCUCUUUCGUUGUCUAUUUUCUCCUAUCUUUUACAUAUGUUGGUAGAAACUCCGUAAGCGGCUCUAAUCUCGUUAAAUGUCAUAUAAAUGGAGGUUUGAGAGUUUAUCGGAAUGCUAACUGGCUAGCUAACUUGUAGCCCUGGUUGAAGCUAGUUAAUCAGUUAGCUACUACAGUAAAGGGUGUAAAAUCUGAAGUGACAUUUAUCCAUUUUAACAAUAUUUAUUUUUGUUCCAAAUUUACACUGGUUAAUGCACUACUCGAAUCGUCCCGCUCGUCGUUAUCUUCUCUACGUUUACACUCCAGUAGGUCUGGUUCCCUGAGCAUUAUAGCCUAGUUCAUUGGCUAUCAACCCCUCAGCACCUGUCCGCUGACAUCAGUGUACCUGAGGAUCUGUUGGCCCUCCCCUCCCCAGAUGUAGAGGGAGUUGUCACCUGCAGCAGCCGUGUACACAACUUUUGUGCUGUCCAGUGAAGUUGCCCACCAUGCGUGAGUACAAGCUAGUGGUGCUGGGAUCAGGAGGUGUGGGAAAAUCAGCAUGGUAAGUGAUGUCUUCAGUCACGGGCAGGAUUUAUCCACAACACUGACAACUGAGUACAAAUGUGUUUAUUAUGAGUAUUGUCAUUGAUUCUUAAUAGUUAAGGCACACACUGCAUUACUGUGAGAAUAAACAGCUAGAGUCAUUUUGAAGAAUAUAACCUUGUUAAGCAAUUUACAGGGUGGGGAAGCAAAAUUUACACUGAACAUUUAGUUGUUUUUUCUCAGCAGGCACUACAUCAGUUGUUUUGAAACCAAACAUAUAUUGAUGUCAUAAUCAUACC